rnacentral:lncRNA from 1 species
CCGAGUCGGCGAAGUUGAGGCACGCGCCCGCGCCGGCGAUGGCGAGCAUGGCGGCGUCGUGCGCGCGCGCGGCCCCCUCCGCGGUGUCGAAGGUGCCGAGCCAGAGCCUGCAGCCGCGCCGGCCGGGCACGCGCACCUCGCACACCCAGCGCCCGGCGUUGCCACGGCGCCGGACGCCGCGGAACACGGGGUGCCGCGUCUCCCGGAACUUGGUCCGCCCGGCGGGCCGCUUCGGCGGCGACGUCCACACCGUCUGGUGGUGCUCCGACGAUGUCGAGGCCGAGGCUGAGCUGCACGGGGAGCACGACUCGGCGAUCAUCUCCUUCUUGAUUUGGCACAUCUUGUUCUGAUCACUUCAAGUUCAAGUUUUUUUGAGCGCAGGGUGUUGUGGUUGCCUUUGGUGCUGCUUGAAUUGUGUUGGAGUGGUUUUUGCUGUGGGAAUGGCGGAUUUGAAGGCGCAUAUUUAUAGGUGCUGGGUGGAGGCCUGGAGGCUGGAGCAGAUCAGACAGCAGAGUAGAAAACGCGGGAGGGGAACCAGUGGGCUCGUCCACACCCAGCUGGAGAAGAAAGCAAGGGGGGUUGCAUCUGGGUAAGGUCGCCAGGUCCGGAAGGCAACUUGCUGACUGCAAGUAGGCAACAGGGCGACUUCGAGAGUGACCUGAUACUUUUCUUAUUUAUUAUUGCUGUAGUACGACCACAGGACUGUUUUUUUUGCUUCCGUUUCCGUCUCUGUUACAGGCAGCUGUUUUGGCCUUAAAAAAUACUACUACUCAAUAUAUAUUCUUUUCUUUUUUAGAAAAGGAACGCCUCUUGUUUGGUGUUAAGAAAAAGAAAUGGCCGCAGUUAGCACUUCCCUUUUUUAGUGCACUGUGGCUGUGGCCUUUUUUUAUGGGCAUCACUGUUGCUGCGACCUUGUGUCAGUGUUCAGCAAUCAAAGAAAAGCUGGCGCAGCAUCUUCUCAACUACGGAGUACGAAAGAAAAGGAUGGAACCUAUAUUUCUCAGAAAGGAAUUAGAAUUUGUGAAAAAAAGGAAAGGAAUUAAAAUUAUGCUGCUAGUUGCAGUCGAUGUAUCCGCGGUCGGGCAUGGUGUCCAAACUUGUGGCCGUCAAACCUUUAGCUUGAGUGAAAGUGAAAUUAAAAAAAAACUUUGAGGUCAACAUAGUUUUCACUUCAAACUUGGAAAUUUGAACUUUAAACUUCAUAUUUUCAAGCCUUUUAUAUCAUGUGAAAAAUUCCUUUUAGCAGUUAAGAAAAGCAUAGUGGUAUACUAGAAGGGGAUAUAUAGUAUUUCGGUAUACAAAUGUACUGACCACACAAAUUGGCAAAUAGGGCAAACUCCUGUGAUUCAAUGACUCGAUCAAACUCGCAAGGGAUGAAGUCUGCCUUGACGCCACUACUCAAAAAAUCCAAUGGACGCCUCGCAUCCCCGAGAGGCCGAGACCCACCCACGUGAAGGCGACAUGAGCAGGCGACCGAUGCGCGAAACCGAGACCACCCACCAAAAUCCAGCAUCGUCCCCGGUCCCAGGCAAGGCAAACCCCGGUAUCACAAAUUGCGGCCGGCAGCAGCCGGGAAGCUCCCGCACCUGCACCGCGUGCGGCGAAUGCGUCGCACCAGUCCGGAAUCUCCGGAUUCCACAAGCCACCCGCCCGCCCGCUCCUGUCCAUCAAAGUUCCAGGGGGAUGCGGACAAAAUUCUACUUUUUGGGUGUUCGGAUCAAUCAAUCCACCCCGCUUGCCCUGCUUACCUGCGGGAGGAUCGGAGGGAGGAGCAGGUGCUUCCCCCCCCCCCCCCCCCCCCCCCCCCGGCGCCGUCGCGCUCGGCUCGUGACCCCAAGCAAUCAGGCAUUCAGGCUACCCUCAGGCGAUCGUCCCAAUCCGUCGCGGCCAUCAAUGCGAAAAGGCGAUCUCUCGCGUCGUCCGGUGUGCGUCCGCUCACGUCCGGCGCUGGCCGUGCCCGUGCGCCCCCGUACGCUCGGCGGCCACGGCCAGCCCCCAGCUGAUGCUCUCUGCUGCUCCGGCCUUGCCGUUUGGGGGCGGCCAAGGGGCGCGCGCCCUCGCGAGGCCUAGUGCUGCGGCGACAUCGACGUCCGGGAGGCGAGACGGUGAAGGUUUGCGGCAGCGACGCGAACCGGGGGGGGGGGGGGGGGGGGGGGGGGGGGGGGGGGCGGUCUGAGUUUAUCCGUCUGCUCCGUUUACACGCGCUUUUGGGAUUGGCCUUGGCCGUGGUAAUCUCUUCUCAUCGCUGCGGGGAAUUAUGGUCCCACUGCUCGAGUGGUUAGAAUAUGGGAGCCGUCCAAGGUCGGAAUUCAGGUCAGGUCCAGCUGAUGCUGACGGUCUACGGUGACGACAAGCUUAGUAUCAAAUCUGAACCAUGAUUUUUUAUGCUAAUCCAGCGGGAAAUAGCCGCAAGUGGAAGUGUACCAAGGGGGAGGUAUCCUAGUACCACCUCCGUAUCUCUCUCAGCAGAAGUUGGAUGGCCUUUCUUUAUUUGGUUCUUUGAACGAACAAUCUGAUAGUGCACUUUCGGUACAAAGUUGAUUAUUUAGUUUAAUCGCGGAUUACUUAUUGAUAAUAAGCAGCUAAAGAUGAAGCUGUUUUUUUUUCAGACUAGUACGUACUAGUCCAUCAACCCGUGCUCCCGCACGGACUAAUAUUUUUUAAAAGUUAUUGUAUUUGAAAGUUAUUUAGAAAUUAGACUCUUAGGUAAUAAUCAAAUUUUGUUUACUUACCACUCUCUCAUUUAUUUAACAUUCUAACACAAUACACAUAUAGAUGUGCGCUUAUCCCGCAUUAUGUUUACCAUAAAAAUUAAUAUUUUUUAUCGCUUCCUCCCAUACAUAUAUAAAUGGUCUACAUGGUCACAUGGUGACACAUAUCAUGCUUAUAUAACUUAACUUAGUAUUUCUAAUUAUCAAAGUCAUAAAUAGGUAAUUCACAAUCAUAUAUUAGUUUACUUUUGAAAAAUUUGGUAUGAUUAAUAUGAAGAUAAAUAGACUAAGAUUUAGGUGUGCACUUUAGGUUAUUUUUUAUAGUGACUUACGUGAGUUACAAAUUUAGAAUGGUAUUUUAAGUUAUAUUUUAUAAUUAUAUGCAUGGGUACGAAGAUGACGGGUUGCUUUAGAUUAUUUUUAUAGUGGUAGAGUUUUUUACUUUAGAAUAUUUUCAUAAUGAUAGUGAUGGGUAACUUUUCACAAAAUAUAAUAGACUAAUGGUUAUUAUUAUUAGAGUUUAUAUGAUCGAUGUCUGAUGUUUCUGAUUUUUGUGAGAAUUUCUAGAAUUUUUUUUUCUGGCAUGUCUCGUGAUAAUUAAUCUGGUGUCUCCAAUUGAAAAAAUAAGACCACGUUGCUACAAAAUUGUUAUCUUGAGCUACCUCGUAUUUGUUAAAUAUUCAAACACAAUACUUAUGUAGAUAUAUACUUAUUAUCUUCAUCGGAUUGUGAUAGAUUCUAGUUAGUAAUUACUACAUAAUAUUUUCAUGCACAUUUAUAAUCUUUAACUUUUAACUUUGUACUGCGGGUAUGUGCUUGAAUUUGUUUAAUGGACCCUAAGUUUGAGCUAUAUUUAACUAUAUAAAUCUAUAUUCUCAUCACUUUAUCUAUAUAUUUAUAAAUGGUGACACAUAUCAUAUGUAUAUAGCUUAAAUAUUAUAUUCUAUACGAAUAGUGUAAGAAAUAGAAAAUUUAGAAUCAUAUAUUGGUGUACAUUAGCGUAUAUUUUCAAACAAAGUGAUUUGGAUACAAAUUUAGGGUUACCUCAUGUCAUUUUUAAUAAUGGCAUAUGUGGGUAAUGUAGAUGCAAAUUUAAGGGGUUAUUUGAAGUUAGUUUUUAAGUAUUGAUGAUGGAAAAUUUAGUUGCAAAUUUAGGGGGAUUAAAUUGUUUUUUUAUAAUAGCAUAAGUGGGUAAUUUAGAUGAAGUUUAGGGGUUACUUUAGUUUGUUUUAUAUAAUGGUAGAUGUGGGUAAUUUAGAUAUAGAUUUAGAGGGUACUUUUAAGCUAUUUCCAUAAUGGCGGAGGUGGGUAAUUUUUUAAGAAACUUAAUAGAUCCAAUGGCUAUGAUGAUUUGAGUCUAUAGUAUUUUGCUUCUUUGUGAGAAUUUCUAGAAUUUCUCUUCUUUUAUAGAAUGUCCACCUAGGAUUCUAGGUGGCUUCACCUGGAAGUUUCAAAAGAGUCUCCAAUUAGUAAUAAUAAAAUUUUAUUGGGCCUCCAUUGCUACAGGGGCGCAUGUGCGUGAUAAAUAUCAGAACCACCAAAUAUCUUUUCCUUUGAUCCGAUUCUGAUUUUUAUACAGCCAAUUGAGCUAACCUUUGACGUCCCUGUCACACUGGACAUGAACUGCGCACAAAAAAUGAACAACGCGUAGUCUCCCCUUUGCUACCAGCUUACCACGAUUCUGAGGAAAUUCUUCUUUUUCAUUGCAAGGAAAUUCAGUAGGGCACAGGAGAGUUUGCAGUUCAGAUUGGUGAAUGGCCGAAUAGAAACCACCGUUUUCGCCGAAAAAGAAGCCCAUGCCUUGCGACAUGUUCGUUGUCGUGUCACUGUAGGAACCUACAUGGCUACAUGUACGCGCAGCACUGUUGUCGCCAAGUUUACUCCGUCAACAGCUGACGUGUCGUUGCCACUUGUAUGCGCCAUCAGUGCUGAGUGCUGACAUACGAGUGUUCAGGUUGACUGUCAACAAUGCAUGGGCAGGCAAGGCAAAGCUGGGGCCUGGGGGUCGCGGGUCGCCCCCUGCAUCAACUGAACAGGCAGGCGGCUUCUCACUUCACCGUCGCUUCUGGUCACAACCCAUAGUAGAAAAAUGCACGCCUUUGACUAAAUAGAGCCUUGAAAUUCGACAUGUGUAUAAAAUGAAGGCCGCUGACUUUUAGCUGGUUCCCUCCUAUAAAUUCAAUUUUUUUCAUGGUCAAUUCCAUGGCGCUCCUAGGUGUUGCUGGAGAGGUGCACCAGAUGUCAGCGGUGACGGCCAUACAUAAUAUACAUUUCAUCGUCACACCUUGGACCGUUUUAUCAGUGGUGGCACACGCCAUCCUGUCGCCUCUGACAGUUGAUUCCUAGUACUACUACUUGUGGCGGCUAGCUUCCCAACUGACGAUUUUCUAAGUGCAGGCUCAGGCUGUAUGUGAGGCGUAGACAACUUACAAUGUCAACCACUAUUAUAAGCUCUAAAUUCAAUAUUUUUAAGUGGAGAAGUUCAGGGUCAAGUACUAUCAUAAGCUCUGAAACUGAAGAAUUUUAAGCGAAGACAUUAGACAUGUUCAGGGUCACCUACUAUCAUAAGUUCUAAAACUAAAGGUGUUUAAGUGAAGAGACAACCUCUGGAUGAACAUUGAAUAAUUUAUGAGAAGGCUGUAUGUGAGGCGUCGACAAGCGACAAGUUCAGGCAAACCAUUAUCAUAAGCGCUUGAGGUUCUCGAAUUCCUUUUUGCUACUUUAAGAAGGUCAAUAAGCACGCUCUGUUUCCCAACGUGCUCUGACUAAUUACCAGAAGUAGUAACCGUUGCAGUACCAAAAAAACUGGCAUCGGACGCCAAGAAAAGGCAAAAAAUUACUGUGUACAGCGGCCUAGUCCUAGUAGUUCCAGAGUGGCACUUCGGCGACGCUGUCGUCGCAGAAGGCGGUGACCGCGGACGGUGGCUCCAUGAGCAUCCUCUGCGCCCGCGCCGGCGAUGGCGAGCAUGGCGGCGUCGUGCGCGCGCGCGGCCGACUCGGCGGCGUCGAAGGUGCCGAGCCAGAGCCUGCAGCCGCGCCUCCCCGGCGUUGCCGCGGCGCCGGACGCCGCGGAACACGGGGUGCCGGUCUCCCUGAACUUGGUCCGCCCCGCGGGGGGCUUCGGCGGCGACGUCCACACCGUCUGUUGAUCCGACGAUGUUGAAGGAGAGCUGCACGGCGAGGCGGACUCUCCCACCAUCUCCUCCUUGAUCCGACACAUCUUGGUGAUGGGUUGGCUCUCUGUUGAUGUUUUAGUCUCCUUGGCGCUGCUUGAGUUGUAUCUCCAAUGGAUUUGGGUUGUGAAUGGUGGAUUUGCGGGCGCAUAUUUAUAUGUGAUGGCUGGCUGGAGCAAAGUGCAAAGCGCGGGAAGGGCUGGAGAAGAAAGCAGAGGAAAGGAGGAUGCAUCUUGGUAAGGCCGGGGAUGCAACUUGC